AGCGAACGCUGGCGGCAGGCCUAACACAUGCAAGUCGAACGAACUCUUCGGAGUUAGUGGCGGACGGGUGAGUAACACGUGGGAACGUGCCUUUUGGUUCGGAAUAACUCAGGGAAACUUGUGCUAAUACCGAAUGUGCCCUUCGGGGGAAAGAUUUAUCGCCAUUAGAGCGGCCCGCGUCUGAUUAGCUAGUUGGUGAGGUAACGGCUCACCAAGGCGACGAUCAGUAGCUGGUCUGAGACGAUGACCAGCCACACUGGGACUGAGACACGGCCCAGACUCCUACGGGAGGCAGCAGUGGGGAAUCUUGCGCAAUGGGCGAAAGCCUGACGCAGCCAUGCCGCGUGAAUGAUGAAGGUCUUAGGAUUGUAAAAUUCUUUCACCGGGGACGAUAAUGACGGUACCCGGAGAAGAAGCCCCGGCUAACUUCGUG
rnacentral:rRNA from 1 species